GAUUCUCACUCUCAUCUGACACACAGGAUGACUAGUCUACACAUGAGAUGCUAUCAUCAGAGAAGGAAUUAUACAAUAACCCAACUAUUUCUCAUAUUUUUACUGAUGUUUAAAACAGGGUCUCUUGAUAAAAUCAGCCAGAGUGAUGUCUUAAAGACUUUCCUGUCUGGAGACAGAGUUCAUUUGGAAUGCCUCACGUCAGAAGAAGAUGGCAACUACUACAACUGGAUCAAGAUAAUAAUAGGACAAGCCCCAGUAUUGAUGCUGUCUCUUUACACUCACUCCAACACCGCAACGUUCUUUGGAGAGUUUAACAACAACACCCGGUUUACGGCAAUGAAGAGUGGAACCAGUUUUGUGCUGACUAUUUCAGAUGCUAGACCAUCAGAUAUGGGGAUGUAUUACUGUGCUGCACGUGAUUACGAUGCCAUGAUCUUCGGGAAGGGUGUGUUUCUGAUGCAUGGGGAUUCCAGGAACCAGCAUCUUACUCAGCAGUCUGUGUCUGAGUCAGUCCAGCCAGGAGACUCUGUGACUCUGAACUGUACAAUACACACUAAGACCUGUUCAGGAGAUCACAGUGUCUAUUGGUUCAGACAUAGUUCAGGAGAAUCCCAUCCAGGAAUCAUUUACACCCAUGGAGACAGGAGUGAUCAGUGUGAGAAGAGCCCUGAGGCUGGGUCUCCUACACAGAGCUGUGUCUACAACCUCCCCAAGAGGAACCUCAGCCUUUCUGAUGCUGGGACUUACUACUGUGCUGUGGCCUCAUGUGGGGAGAUACUAUUUGGGAAUGGAACAAAGCUAGAUGUUGGAGGUAUUUUGAUUUUAAACUCUGAAUUUAGAUUUGUACCUGUCAUAAUUCAAGAGCAAUCAAACUAAAAUAAAUAUUUGCCUCAACAGCCUCAAAGUGGUGUUACAGCCCCUUCCUGUCCUGACAAGGAGAGAGAUGAGGGAGAGGAGCUGAACUAUGCUGCCAUGAGUUUCUCCUCAAGGAAGACCAAGAGGAGAGCAGAACCAGAGAGAGAGACCAGAGAGACGGACAUGAAUGUGGUUUACUCUGGGGUGAGAGGUCAUCAUGAGUGGAACUGGGAUUCAUGAUUUAUAGUGCAAUAGUUUUAUAAUGCAAUUUUAUAAUGCCAUUUAGAGUGCAUUGUAAAAGUAAUAUGCUGUGAACAUAAUUAACAGAAAUUCUGCUAAAUGUUUUAAUAAACUUUCAAAUAUAUCUAUAUUUAAGAUUACUAUUAGAGGGAGCAUGUGAUGUGUGUGUGUAAGGGGACUUUGAUAAGGACGUACCAUCCUGUGCCAGAGCUGUCUCGACUUCUUUGAUCUGUAUGUACACCAACUAUCCAGCAGAGGGCAGUAGCCUUCCACAAAGUGAACAGACCACAGGCACACCAAAAGGAACUCGUCACCAGUCAGUCAUAUGAUGAUGGCUAGCUAUAUCUUAGUAAUUUAGCAGAUACUCUUAUCCAGAGCAACUUACAGUAGCGAGUGCAUACAUUUAUCAUACUAUUUCAUUCUGGUCCCCCUUGGGAAUCAAACCCACAACCAACCCUGACAUUGCAAGCACCAUGCUCUAUCAACUGAGCCACAUGGGACCUGCAACAAUAUAGUUGGAUGGUAUUUGCCAUCUAUAUGGGUUUCUAGAAAAGGAGACUAUCUUUGGGAUACUCACAAAAGGAAAUGAUAAAUUCUCAACCCUUGUUUGGAAAGGACACUCAAACCAGCGUGAACAAUCAAGAUCGUGGUUUAAAAUGUUAUUAUAGUCUCACUUUUAAAACCAAGUUUUCAAAAGUACAGCCACAACUAUUUACCAUAUAGGUUUUAAUACAUAUGAAUGCUCAAUUAAUUAUAUACUGAACGAAAAUAUAAACGCAACAUGUAAAGUGUUGGGGCCACAUAUCAUGAGCUGAAAUAAAAGAUCCCUGAAUAUUCCAU